rnacentral:tRNA from 1 species
GCCGGGGUGGCCUAGCUGGUUAGGGCGCAAGACUCAUAAUCUUGAAGUCGCGGGUUCGGAUCCCGUCCCCGGCA